rnacentral:rRNA from 1 species
AUUGAACGCUGGCGGCAGGCCUAACACAUGCAAGUCGAACGAGUGGCGGACGGGUGAGUAAUGUCUGGGAAACUGCCCGAUGGAGGGGGAUAACUACUGGAAACGGUAGCUAAUACCGCAUACCAUCGGAUGUGCCCAGAUGGGAUUAGCUUGUAGGUGAGGUAACGGCUCACCUAGGCGACGCUCCCUAGCUGGUCUGAGAGGAUGACCAGCGAAACUGGAACUGAGACACGGGCCAGACGCCUACGGGAGGAAGCAGUGGGGAAUAUGGGACAAGGGGCGCAAGCCUGAUGCAGCGAUGCCGAGUGUAUGAAGAAGGCCUUCGGGUUGUAAAGUACUUGCAGCGGGGAGGCGGUACCCGCAGAAGAAGCACCGGCUAACUACGGGCCAGCAGCCGCGGUAAUUC